CAGUAGCCGCGGUAAUACGAAGGGGGCUAGCGUUGUUCGGAAUUACUGGGCGUAAAGCGCGUGUAGGCGGGUCCUUAAGUCAGGGGUGAAAUGCCAAGGCUCAACCUUGGAACUGCCUUUGAUACUGGGGAUCUUGAGUCCGGGAGAGGUGAGUGGAACUGCGAGUGUAGAGGUGAAAUUCGUAGAUAUUCGCAAGAACACCAGUGGCGAAGGUGGCUCACUGGCCCGGAACUGACGCUGAGACGCGAAAGCGUGGGGAGCAAACAGGAUUAGAUACCCCCGUAGUCCCUGUCUCUUAUAC
rnacentral:rRNA from 1 species